GACGGUAGCCGCCUGAGAGGGUGACCGCCACACUGGGACUGAGACACGGCCCAGACUCUACGGAGGCAGCAGUGGGGAAUAUGCACAAUGGGCGCAAGCUGAUGCAGCGACGCCGCGUGAGGGAUGACGGCCUUCGGGUUGUAAACCUCUUCAGUAGGGAAGAAGCCUUCGGGUGACGGUACCUGCAGAAGAAGCGCCGGCUAACUACGUGCCAGCAGCCGCGGUAAUACGUAGGGCGCGAGCGUUAUCCGGAAUUAUUGGGCGUAAAGAGCUCGUAGGCGGUUUGUCGCGUCUGCUGUGAAAGCCCGGGGCUUAACUCCGGGUGUGCAGUGGGUACGGGCAGACUAGAGUGCAGUAGGGGAGACUGGAAUUCCUGGUGUAGCGGUGAAAUGCGCAGAUAUCAGGAGGAACACCGAUGGCGAAGGCAGGUCUCUGGGCUGUUACUGACGCUGAGGAGCGAAAGCAUGGGGAGCGAACAGGAUUAGAUACCCUGGUAGUCCAUGCCGUAAACGUUGGGCACUAGGUGUGGGGGACAUUCCACGUUUUCCGCGCCGUAGCUAACGCAUUAAGUGCCCCGCCUGGGGAGUACGGCCGCAAGGCUAAAACUCAAAGGAAUUGACGGGGGCCCGCACAAGCGGCGGAGCAUGCGGAUUAAUUCGAUGCAACGCGAAGAACCUUACCAAGGCUUGACAUACACCGGAAUGUGCCAGAGAUGGUUCAGCCCUUUGGGCUGGUGUACAGGUGGUGCAUGGUUGUCGUCAGCUCGUGUCGUGAGAUGUUGGGUUAAGUCCCGCAACGAGCGCAACCCUCGUUCUAUGUUGCCAGCACGUGAUGGUGGGAACUCAUAGGAGACUGCCGGGGUCAACUCGGAGGAAGGUGGGGAUGACGUCAAAUCAUCAUGCCCUUUAUGUCUUGGGCUUCACGCAUGCUACAAUGGUCGGUACAAAGGGUUGCGAGACCGUGAGGUGGAGCGAAUCCCAGAAAGCCGAUCUCAGUUCGGAUCGUAGUCUGCAACUCGACUACGUGAAGUCGGAGUCGCUAGUAAUCGCAGAUCAGCAACGUGC
rnacentral:rRNA from 1 species